UUGGAAAGGCUGAUCUCCGUAACUAGAGAUAGUACCAUCACCAUUUCUUAACAGUGGUGGGAAAGGACCACUAAUACCCUUCGCCAAAAUUUCAGUUCCAGCGGUAAGGGUCUUCGAUUAUUCGGAACCCGAUGUUUAUUCACUAUUUAAAAAUGUCGGAGGACCGGAUUUCCAUAACUAAAGAGAGUAACAUCACCAUAUGCGUUAUGCAUAAAAAUAGGACGGUCGGAUCUUCGUAACCCGAGAAAGUUACAUCACCAUUUCUUCAUAGUGGUCGGAAAGGACCAAUAAUGCCUUCCACCAAAAUUUCACUCCCCGGGGUAGGAAUCCUCGAUGAUUCCGAAACCGAUGUUUAUUCACUUAGUGUAAUGUAUUCUGCAUAAAAAUUGGAGGGGCGGAUCUCCGUCAGUAGAGAGAAUAACAUCACCAUUUCUUCACAGUGGUGGAAGAGGACAACUAAUACCCUUCAAAAAAAAAUUCAGUCCCCGGGAUAGGGGUCUUCGAUGAUUCCGAACCCGAUGAUUAUUCACUUAGUGUAAUGCAUUAUGCAUAAAAAUUGGAGGAGCGGAUCUCCGUAACUAAAGAGAGCAGCAUCACCAAUUCUUCAUAGUGGUGGUACAGGACCACUAAUACCCUUCCGCCAAAAUUUCAGUCCCCGGAGUAGGGGUCUUCGAUGAUUCCGAACCCGAUGUUUAUUCCCUUUGUGUAAAGCAUUAUGCAUAAAAAUUGGAGGGGCGAUGCUCCGUAACUAGAGUGAGUAACAUCUCUAUUUCUUCACAGUGGUGAGAGACGACCCCUAAUACCCUUCCGCCAAAAUUUCAGUCCCCGGGGUAGGGGUUUCGAUAAUUCCGAACCCGAUGUUUAUUCACUUACUAUAAUGCAUUAUGCAUAAAUCUUGGAAAGGCUGAUCUCCGUAACUAGAAAUAGUACCAUCACCAUUUCUUAACAGUGGUGGGAAAGGACCACUAAUACCUUUCGCCAAAAUUUCAGUCCCAGCGGUAAGGGUCUUCGAUUAUUCGGAACCCGAUGUUUAUUCACUAUUUAAAAAUGUCGGAGGACCGGAUCUCCAUAACUAAAGAGAGUAACAUCACCAUAUGCGUUAUGCAUAAAAAUAGGACGGUCGGAUCUUCGUAACCCGAGAAAGUUACAUCACCAUUUCUUCAUAGUGGUCGGAAAGGACCACUAAUACCCUAGCCCCAAAAUUUCAGUUCCCGGGGUAAGGGUUUUCGAUAAUUCCCAGCCCGAUGUUUAUUCACUAAGUGUAAUGCGUUAUAUAUAAAUGUUGGAAGAGCGCAUCUCCAUAACUAAAGAGAAUAACAUUAAUAUUUCUUCAUAGUGGUGGAAAGGGACCACUAAUACCCGUCCCCCAAAAUUUCAGUCUCCGGGGUAGGGGUCUUCGAUGAUUCCGAACUCGAUGGUUAUUCACUUAGUGUAAAGCAUUAUGCAUAAAUGUUGGAUGGGCGGAUCACCGUAACUAGAGAGAGUACCAUCACCAUUUCUUAACAGUGGUGGAGAAAGGACCACUAAUACCGUUCCGCCAGAAUUUUAGUCCCCGGGGUAGGGGUCGUCGAUGAUUCCGAACCCGAUGUUUAUUCACUUACUGUAAUGCUUUAUGCAUAAAACUAGGAGACGCGGAUCUCCGUAACUAGAAGGAGUACCAUCACUAUUUCUUCAUAGUGGUGGGAGAGGACCACUAACAACCUUCUCUUAAAAUUUGAAUCCCCUGGGUAGGGGUCUUCGAUAAUUCCGAACCUGAGCUUUAUUCACUAAGUGUAAUGCAUUAUGUAUAAAAAUUGGAGGGGCGGAUUUCCAUAACUAGAGAAAGUAACAUCACCAUUUCUUCAUAGUGGUGGGAGAGGACCACUAAUACCCUACCACAAAAAUUUCAGUCCCCGGGAUAAGGGUCUUCAAUGAUUCCGAACCCGAUGUUUAUUCACUUAGUGUAAAGCAUUAUGCAUAAAAAUUGGAGGGGCGGAUCUCCGUAACUUGAGAGAGUAACAUCACCAUUUCUUCAUAGUGGUGGGAGAGGACCACUGAUACCCUACCCCUAGAAUUUCAGUCUCCGGGGUAUGGUCUUUCAUAAUUCCGAACCCGAUGUUUAUUCACUAAGUGAAAUGCGUUAUUUAAAAAUGUCGGAGGAGCGGAUCUCCAAAACUAAACAGAGUAACAUCACCAUUUCUUUUUAUUGGUGGGAGAGGACCACUAAUACCCUUCCCCCGAAAUUUCAGUCCCCGGGGUAAGGGUCUUCGAUGAUUCCGAACCCGAUGUUUAUUCAUUUAGUGUAAUGCACUAUGCAUAAAAAUUGGAGGGGCGGAUCUCCGUAACUUAAGAGAGCACCAUCACAAUUUCUUCAUAGUAUUGGUAAAGGACCACUAAUAGCCUUCCGCCAAAAUUUCUGUCACCAGGGUAGGGGUCUUCGAUGAUUCUGAACCCGAUGUUUAUUCACUUUGUGUAAUGCAUAAUGCAUAAAAAUUGGAGGGGCGGAUCUCCGUAUCUAGAGAGAGUAACAUCACCAUUUUUUCACAGUGGUGGAAUAGGACCACUAAUACCCUACCACAACAAUUUCAGUCCGCGGGGUAGGGGUCUUCGAUGAUUCCGAACCUGAUGUUUAUUCACUAAGUGUAAAGCGCUAUUUAAAAAUGUUCGAGGAGCGGAUCUCCAAAACUAAACAGAGUAACAUCACCAUUUCUUUUUAUUGGUGGGAGAGGACCACUAAUACCCUUCCCCCGAAAUUUCAGUUCCCGGGGUAGGGGUGUUCGAUGAUUCCGAACCCGAUGUUUAUUCAUUUAGUGUAAUGCACUAUCCAUAAAAAUUGAAGGGGCGGAUCUCCGUAACUAAAGAGAGUACCAUCACUUUUUUUUCAUAGUAGUGGUAAAGGACCAUUAAUACCCUUCAACCAAAAUUUCAGUCACCAGGGUAGGGGUCUUCGAUGAUUCCGAACCCGAUGUUUAUUCACUUUGUGUAAUGCAUUAUGCAUAAAAAUUGGAGGGGCGGAUCUCCGUAACUAGAAAGGGUACCAUCACCAUUUCUUCAUAGUGGUGGGAGAGGACCACUAAUACCCUACCACAACAAUGUCAUUCACCGAGGUAGGGGUCUUCGAUGAUUCCGAACCUGAUGUUUAUUCACUUAGUGUAAAACGUUAUUUAGAAAUGUCGGAGGAGCGGAUCUCAAAAACUAAAGAGAGUAACAUCACCAUUUCUUUGUAGUGGUGGAGAGGACCACUAAUACCCUUCCCCCCAAAAUUUCAGUCCCUGGGGUAGGGUCUUCGAUGAUUCCAAACCCGAUGUUUAUUCACUUACUGUAAUGCGUUAUGCAUAAAAAUUGGAGAGGUAGAUCUUUGUAAUUAGAGAUAGUAACAUCACCAUUUUUGCAUAGUGGUGGUAAAUGACCACCGAUACCCUUCUGCCAAAAUUUCAGUCCCCGUGGUAGGGGUCUUCGAUGAUUCCGAACCAGGUAUUUAUUCACUUUGUGUAAUGCAUUAUGCAUAAAAAUUGGAGUGGCGGAUCUCCGUAACUAGAGAAAGUAACAUCACUUUUUCUUCACAGUGGUGACAAAGGACCACUAAUACCCUUCCGCCAAUAUUUCAGUCCCUGGGGUAGCGGUGUUCAAUAAUUCCGAACCCGAUGUUUAUUCACUUGCACACUGUUUUGGCUAAAUUUAGCUCUAAAACUUCAUAGUUAUUUCGAAUUUCAAACAUUUCAGUUGAGCAUCACUGAAGAGACAUUUUUUGUCGAAAUGCGCAUCUGGUGCAUCAAAAUUGGUACCGUAUAAGUUUUACGUUAUGACCCCUGGGUCGAGGCCUCUGCUGGUGGACUGUUAGUCCCCGAGGGUCUCUACAGCCCAGUUGCUAAGUACUUCGUUACUAGCUUGAAAAUACGGAUGUAUAUUUAAUUGCUGUUAUAAAAUUUAGAAAUUCAUUUCAAAAUUAAGGAUUUUCUCCCUCAUGCAUAGCUCUUAUCCUUGGACGAAUUUUCUCCACUUUUUUUGGCACGCUGUUUUGGCUAUAUUUAGCUCUAAAAGUUCAAAGCUAUUUCCAAAUUCAAACAUUUCGGUUGAGCAUCACUGAAGAGACAUUUUUUGUCGAAAUGCGCAUCUGGUGCAUCAAAAUUGGUACCGUAUAAGUUUUACAUUACUGUAAUGCGUUAUGCAUAAAACUUGGAGGCGCGGAUCUCCGUAACUAGAAAGAGUACCAUCACAAUUUCUUCAUAGUGGUGGGAGAGGACCACUAAAACCUUUCUCCCAAAAUUUCGAUCCCCUGGAUAGGAGUCUUCGAUGAUUCCAAAUCCGAUCUUUAUUCACUUAGUGUAAUGCAUUAUGCAUAGAAAUUGGAGAGGCGGAUCUCCGUAACUAGAGAGAGUAACAUCACCAUUUCUUCAUAGUGGUGGGAUAGGACUACUAAUACCCUCCCACAAAAAUUUCAGUCCCUGGGGUAGGGGUCUUCGAUGAUUCUGAAACUGAUGUUUAUUCACUAAGUGUAAUGUGUUACGCAUAAAAAUUGGAGGGGCGGAUCUACGUAACUAGAGAGAUUACCAUCACCAUUUCUUAACAGUGUUUGGGGUUGGUAACUGGCACCCCAUCCUUAUAACUCCAGUGUGGUGUUAUUUUAUGCAUAUAGAAAUUUGAAUUGCGAACUGCGUUCUAGAAUGCAGUUCACUAUUGAAUUGCGAAUAGUGAACUGCGAACGUUUAACGUCCCUCUCAAGAAUUUUUCACUCAUAUGGAGACAUCACCAAUAGGGUCUGUAAGUCUCGUCAUGUGAUUGCCGAGAUUUAGCGAGAUUAUUAACUUCCGGGUACAUCAACAUCUCAGAUUGCACAGUGUAGAGAGUGGUAUACAUAGAUAUAGCGUUGUCAAUCGAUUAUGAGGAGGUUUUAACGAGGUAAACAUGGGGAUUGAACCAUUAGUGGAGUCGUCGAGGAUUCUUUGCUUCGUGUUUGACGAAUUACGUGUAAUAACCGCCAGUGUACAAACAUCGACGAGGGUACGUCUUGCAGAUAAAGAGCAGAUAUGCCUUGAAUCUGAGGAUAAAGGUGUUGUGCAUUGUGCAGUCAUCAUUAAUGUGGAUGUCUGAUGCCAGUAUGCCCAUAAUGGGGCAGUAUAAGUGCCGAUCUUCAUAUGGCAGCAAAUAUUCAAAGCCAGAUAUAAGAAGGCAAAUAAAACUGUUCAAUGUAAAAUACGCCAGUAGUUGGAUAAAACAUCCAAAGUCGGCACAGUCAAAGGUCACAACAACAAUGGAGGAAUUAACUGCAUGAAUCCUCAUUCCGCAGGGCAACAGGCCAUUUUCAGCAACCCCUGAAAUUCUUAAUUGAGGCCAAGUGCCCAUUUUCAGCUCGAACAAUGACAAUUAAAGAGGCCUGUGCAAAUGUUGGGAUUUCCCUCUUAAAUGUGAUGCAAGGGAUGGUUCGCUGCACCUCAAAACAAAAUAUGAAUAUUGGCAUCAGGUUCAAGGACAACAACACCUGAAAGACAUCCAAUGCUGUGAUUUGCUAGCGUGGAUUUCUAGUGACACUCAAAUAAUUCACAUUGACAAAGAUGUAUUAUUGUCAACAAAUGUUUAAGCGUGAUAGAGUUUAAUUAUAAUAAUGAGGUAUAUUUGCAGUCUAAAACACACACACAUAACCACAUGUACAUACUUUAUUAUGAUAUCAGUGGUGCAUCUAUCAAUGUUAUGUAAUUACAUGUAUAUUUAAUGAAUAAACAUUAUAGACAGA